rnacentral:rRNA from 1 species
CCUACGGGGGGCAGCAGUGGGGAAUAUUGCACAAUGGGGGAAACCCUGAUGCAGCAACGCCGCGUGAGUGAUGAAGGCCUUCGGGUCGUAAAGCUCUGUCCUAAGGGAAGAAUACUGACGGUACCUUAGGAGGAAGCCCCGGCUAACUACGUGCCAGCAGCCGCGGUAAUACGUAGGGGGCUAGCGUUAUCCGGAAUUACUGGGCGUAAAGGGUGCGUAGGCGGCCCUUCAAGUCAGAGGUGAAAGGCUACGGACCAACCGUAGUAAGCCUUUGAAACUGUAGGGGUUGGGUGCAGGAGAGGAGAGGGGAAUUCCCAGUGGAGCGCGCAAAUGCGAAGAGAUGUGGAGGAACACCAGUGGGGAAGGCGGACCUCUGGAGUGUGACUGACGCUGAGGGAAGAAGGCGUGGGGAGCGAAGCAGAUUUGAAACCCGGGUGGUC